AUACUUACCUGACAGGGGAGACACCACAAUCAGGAAGUGGUCUUCCCAAAGUGAGACUCAUCCAUUCCACUUGUUAUGUGCUCACUCCUGUGCUUUGCCCAAAUGCAGAAAACUUGACUGUAUAAUUUGUGGUAGCAGGAGACUGUGUUCACACUCUGUCCUG
ensembl:snRNA U1 U1 spliceosomal RNA